UACGAAGGGUGCAAACGUUGCUCGGAAUCAUUGGGCGUAAAGCGCACGUAGGCGGCCUCGCAAGUCGGAUGUGAAAUACCUAGGCUCAACCAAGGACGUGCAUCCGAAACUGCAAGGCUUGAGUACAGAAGAGGAUCGCGGAAUUCCCGGUGUAGAGGUGAAAUUCGUAGAUAUCGGGAGGAACACCAGUGGCGAAGGCGGCGAUCUGGGCUGAUACUGACGCUGAGGUGCGAAAGCGUGGGGAGCAAACAGG
rnacentral:rRNA from 1 species